CAGUAGCCGCGGUAAUACGAAGGGGGCUAGCGUUGCUCGGAAUUACUGGGCGUAAAGGGCGCGUAGGCGGACAGUUCAGUCGGGGGUGAAAGCCCGGGGCUCAACCUCGGAAUUGCCUUCGAUACUGGCUGUCUUGAGUAUGAGAGAGGUGUGUGGAACUCCGAGUGUAGAGGUGAAAUUCGUAGACAUUCGGAAGAACACCAGUGGCGAAGGCGACACACUGGCUCAUUACUGACGCUGAGGCGCGAAAGCGUGGGGAGCAAACAGGAUUAGAUACCCGUGUAGUCCCUGUCUCUUAUAC
rnacentral:rRNA from 1 species